rnacentral:lncRNA from 10 species
AUGGAGGCUUCCAGAUCAUGGAUCCUGUCACGCGCAUCCCGGUGAAGAGAGUCCACCAACAGGCUUUGUGUGAGCAACAAGGCUGUUUAUUUCUCCUGGGUGCAGGCGGGCUGAGUUUGAAAAGGGAGUCAGCAAAGGGUGGUGGGAUUAUCAUUAGUUCUUACAGGUUUUGGGAUAGGUGGUGGAGUUAGGAGCAAUGUUUUGCGGGCAGGGGGUGAAUCUCACAAAGUACAUUCUCAAGGGUGGGGAGAAUUACAAAGAAUCUUCUUAAGGGUGGGGGAGAUUACAAAGUACAUUGAUCAUUUAAGGUGGGGCAGAAACAAAUCACAAUGGUGGAAUGUCAUCAGUUAAGGCUAUUUUCACCUCUUUUGUGGAUCUUCAGUUGCUUCAGGCCAUGUGGAUGUAUAAGUGCAGGUCACUGGGGAUAUGAUGGCUUAACUUGGGCUCAGAGGCCUGACAGAUCCCACCAGCCAGACUGACCAUCUUUCAGCUUCUCAAGAACACCACACUCCUGUCUCGCACCAGACCUUUAUAACUACUGCAGUCUCAGCCUUUUAAUGAGUUCUGUGGCAGGUGAUGGUGGUUUUCACUGGAAUUUCUGAAAGCCUUCCACACCACGUUUAUACCAUUCAAUUAAAUGCAAGAGGGGGAAAGAGGUUUUUUUUGUUUUUUUUUUGAGAUAGAGUCUCACUCUGUUGCCCAGGCUGGAGUGCAGUGGCACAAUCUUGGCUCACUGCAACCUCUACCUACCAGAUUUCAAGUGAUUCUCCUGCUUCAGUCUCCCAGGUAGCUGGGAUUACAGGCAUGUGCCACCACACCCAGCUAAUUUUUGUAUUUUUAGUAGAGACAGGGUUUUACCAUGUUGGCCAGGCUGGUCUCGAACUCCUGGCUUCAAGUGGUCCACCUACCUCGGCCUCCCAAAGUGCUGGGAUUACAGGCGUGAGCCACCUUGCCCAGCCGAGAUAUUUUUAAUAAUUUAGAAUUUAUCGCAUGCUGUCAGUAUGCUUUUAAAAUGAGAAUACACAUGUUCUAUCUGACUUUCCUUUUUAGAAACUGCAAAACAAGGAAAUUGUGUAGAUAGCAAGGUCAGAGAAGUGACUGAAAAAUGUGGCUGUAGAAUAUAAAAGAGUAAGUAAUUCAAUACAUUCUCUGAGUCAUAAAGUAGAAGUAGAAAGAAACCUCAAGAGGUCAUUUGGUUGAACUCUCUGCUUCUGAGAAGCCCUAGACUGAAAUCAUCCCAGAUGAAGCUGGUGAAGGGAGCUGGUGGGAAUUGGGGAGAGGAGGAGACAGGAAGAGGGCCAGGAAUUGUGAUCUAUUCUAAGAUCUCUAGGCAUGGAGAUGAGAAAAGACCUUUUCAAAGUUUUGUCUCAGUCCUCAGAAAAUCUCUACAUAGCUGAAUACUCAAUACUAAUAUUGGCUGGGAACUUUACAUAUGGAAGACCUUCUGGCAUCCAACUCGGCUAUCUUCUAAUUUUGAGGAAGGGCUGAGGGUUGGGAAACUUCUGGGCCUCAGUCACACCCCAGGGAAAGCUAAAUCUCAAGAUCUCCCCCUACCUCAAGAUCAGCCCUGACUGGGCUGAACUGCCAGAUUAGAAAAGGGGCAGCCCUCCUGUCAAGUCAUCUCUGCGUCCUAAAAUGGGAAACAGGGCAAGAACCUCCCCUUACCAUCAGCAGUUGCUUCAAAGCCUCUGAUGCCCCAAUUCCCUCCAAACCUAAAGAAAUCAAGAUCCUUGCGUCUGUCAUUCCCUCCUCCUAUCUCUCCCACUUUUCCUUUUUCUCCCCACCUAACUUUGUCUCCUCCUCCGCUCUAGACUAUGGAAAAGUCUUACGAGCAGGCAGGAAUAUCUUGUUUACAUAGUCAGAAGCUUGAUAUUCUUUUUUUUUUCUUUUGAGAUGGAAUCUUGCUCUGUCGCCCAGGCUGGAGUGCAGUGGCGCAAUCUUGGCUCACUGCAAGCUCUGCCUCCCGGGUUCACGCCAUUCUUCUGCCUCAGCCUCCGGAGUAGCUAGGUGGGACUACAGGCGCCCGCCACAACGCGCGGCUAAUUUUUUUUUUUUUUUUUUUUUUAAGUAGAAACAGGGUUUCACCGUGUUAGCCAGGAUGGUCUUGAUCUCCUGACCUCGCGAUCCGCCCACCUCGGCCUCCCAAAGUCCUGGGAUUACAGGCAUGAGCCACCGCGCCCGGCCAUUUAGGCACUUGAUAUUCUAACUAGAAGACCCAAAUGUCCUUCAAAAAAGGGCGGGUGACUGCUCUCUCUUGUCAUGGGGCAAUAAAUCUCUAGGCUUUCAGUCCAGAGAUGGGAAGCUAGCAAACAAAAUUUAAGGAAGUAUUUAGAUUCAUUGUUUUAAUAUUUACAAAUACAAGUCCUGUUUCAGUAACAAGUGGCAAAUCCAGAACUCAAAUGCAGUUUGUCUGACUUAAGUCUGCACUUUUUUUUUUUUUUUUUUUUGAGACAGAGUCUCGCUCUUUCGCCCAGGCCGGAGUGCAGUGGCGCGAUCUCGGCUCACUGCAAGCUCCACCUCCCGGGUUCACACCAUUCUCCUGCCUCAGGCUCCCGACUAGCUGGGACUACAGGCGCCCGCCACCGUGCCACGCUCAUUUUUUGUAUUUGAAGGGUCUCACCAUGUUGCUCAGACUGAUCUCAAACUCCUGGGCUCUAGCAAUCUACCCACUUCAGUCUCCCAAAGUGCUGGAAUUAUAGGCAUGAGCCACUGUGACUGGCCAAUUCCAUUUUACUGCAAUUCAAUUAAAACUAUUGUUGGGGUAGGCUGGGCGUGGUGGCUCACACCUAUAAUCCCAGCAUUUUGGGAGGCCGAGGCGGGCGGAUCACGAGGUCAGGAGAUCGAG